rnacentral:tRNA from 1 species
GGUAGUACGGCUCAGUGGUAGAGCACGUGCUUGGCAUGCACGAGGCCCUGGGCUCAAUCCCCAGUGCCUCUG